AUGUAUGAGAGAGAGAGAGGCAGUGACAGAUGAAGAGAGGUGCUUGGUGGUUAUCAGGAGUAUUGUAAAGAACCUCUGUUUUCUAACUGGAAAGACAUUUUUAUAUUGCUUACAUCAGAAGAAUUAGAAGUGUCUGAAGAAUUCUCACUUUUUAGGUUUAAAAUUUAAAUCCUUAGUGAACCAGGGUGAGGAUAAAGAUGGGAUCCUUUAGUGUUUCCUUAUUGAUCCUGUGGCUUCAGUUCAUCUGGGUGAGUAGCCAGCAGAAGGAGGUGGAACAGAGUCCUGAGACCCUCAGUGUUCCAGAGGGAGACACCGCCUCUCUCAACUGCACUUACAGGGACAGCCUUUCCAACACCUUCGGGUGGUACAGACAGUACCCUGGGAAAGGCCCCGAGCUGCUGAUAUCCAUGUACUCCAGUGGGGACAAGAAAGAAGGAAGAUUCACAGCGCAGCUCAGCACAGCCAGCCGGCAUUUCUCCCUGCACAUCCAAAGCUCCCAGCACCGUGACUCAGCUGCCUACUUCUGUGCAGUGAGCACACAGUGCUCCCCAGGCACCUGCAGCCCGCACCCAAACCACAAGAGCCCAGGCAGCUCGAAAGCAGAACAGAGAACACAGGGCAGGGCAUUUCUGUACCUGCUCCAGGUGCACUAGGAAUUAAAAUCAGUAGUAGC